GACGAACGCUGGCGGCGUGCUUAACACAUGCAAGUCGAACGGAAAGGCCCUGCUUUUGUGGGGUGCUCGAGUGGCGAACGGGUGAGUAACACGUGAGUAACCUGCCCUUGACUUUGGGAUAACUUCAGGAAACUGGGGCUAAUACCGGAUAGGAGCUCCUGCUGCAUGGUGGGGGUUGGAAAGUUUCGGCGGUUGGGGAUGGACUCGCGGCUUAUCAGCUUGUUGGUGGGGUAGUGGCUUACCAAGGCUUUGACGGGUAGCCGGCCUGAGAGGGUGACCGGCAACAUUGGAACUGAGAUACGGCCCAGACUCCUACGGGAGGCAGCAGUGGGGAAUAUUGAACAAUGGCCGGAAGCCUGAUGCAGCAACGCCGCGUGCGGGAUGACGGCAUUCGGGUUGAAAACGGCUUUCGCCUGUGACGAAGCGGAAGUGACGGUAAUGGUAAAGAAGCACCGGCUAACUACGUG
rnacentral:rRNA from 1 species